rnacentral:misc_RNA from 1 species
AAGUCGUAACAAGGUUUCCGUAGGUGAACCUGCGGAAGGAUCAUUACCAAUUUUAAUCCAAAUUUCAAACCCAUGUGCACGAUGAAAUUGUCUUGUUUUUGGGGUGGUCUUUUUUUGCUCUAUAAUAUGUGGCGUAUUAAUCGGCCGCCCCAAAUUUUUGUUGAACCCUUUUAUUUUUUCUUUUGGCAUCUUUUUUGUAAAAAUAAAAUAAAUGACAACUUUUAACGGCGGAUCUCUUGGCUCGUG